UCUUGCGCGGACUCAACUCUCCGACCUGGAGGCCCCGGUAGCUUGAGGUGGACCGGGCAAAGGUUUGGCAAGCAGUGGGAGGCCUCUGUCCCACUCCCUGCCGACCUGCUCCCUUGACCCAGACCGGCGCAGACCUCAGCCGCAGCUCCAGCCGUGGCUCCGGCAGGCCUCGGGGACGCCUGGUGGGCUGCGCCCCUGCUGGACCUCCUUCCUCUUUCCCAGCCGCAGCCUCCGCGUGUGAGUUCGCUCGUAACUCUGCGUGGAGUUGCACAACUCCACGAAAGAAGAAACUCUGCCACAAGGACCGUUCCUAUUGGAAACUCAGCCGUCCGCAUUCAAAUAGGGUGUUAGGAACGAGCAGGCUGAGGAUUAGCCUUAGUGCACUUGCCGAGCAUGCACGGAGCCCUGGGUUCCCGCCCCUGUACCCUCAAACAAACAAGCAAAUGGUAACGCUGUGAGUCUGCUGUCUUUUCUCCCGAAGUUCUUUCCUCUCCAGGCGCUUGGUCCUUAGAUGGGCCAGAGUGGCUGCCCACAAACCUCUCCUGCAAUUCUGUUUUCAUCUUGCAUAGACCAGUGAGCGCAAGGGCUUGGUGCCACUCGCCCUGCUUCCGGGCUGACCGCAGUUCUGAACUGCUGCAACAUUUUGUUCCUCUCAGGCCCCUGUGGAGGGGGAGGAGGACCUGGACUGAGUGGGGAGGAGACUAAGCAUCGGAUUCGGUUUCUAUUCAGCACUGGAGAGUCUGCGCCCCUGCAAAGGCAGCUGGCACGGAUAGAGCUUACCGUGCUUACUGUAAUGUGGACCGCUCACGGCUGCUGGGCAGGGUCCCACAGGGAAACAAGUCCACAUGUAGUUGUCGGCAUCUGGGAUGUUCUGAGGAUUUUUCUCUUACAGGGUCUAGCUGGUUGACUGGGUCCCAGUAGUCUGUGCUGACUGGCUGGCCGGCUAGCUCUGGGACCCACCUAUCUCCACUUCCACUAAACUAGGAUCGGAAUCUCACCACAGCAUCAGCGCCUUUUCCACCUUGAGAUCAAGUUGUCCCUCAACAACCCUGCACUGCCCUGUGCCCAACUGGACAGCCUGCACCACCCUGUGCCCAGCUGGACGGCCUGCACCACCCUGUGCCCAGCUGGACAGUUUGCCAUGUACAAUCAUACUGCCUGUAUUCUGUGGGAUCAAACUCAAGUGUUCCUGCUUGCUCAGGAAGCACCUUCCCGACUGAGCCUUGUCCUCAGCCCUAUUUUCCGCCAGGAUUUGAGGAGAGGGAUUAAACA